AACCUGAAAUUCUACAAAAGCCAACUGCGACAAUUUGACAAUUGCCUCCUAACAACC
rnacentral:sRNA from 15 species